rnacentral:rRNA from 1 species
CAGUCGCCGCGGGAAUACGAAGGGGGCUAGCGUUGUUUGGAAUUACUGGGCGUAAAGCGCACGCAGGCGGCUCGAUAAAUUAGAAGUGAAAGCCUUGGGCUUAACCUGAGAAUUGCUUUUAAGACUGUCGAGCUAGAAUCCAGAAGAGGGUAGUGGAAUUCCGAGUGUAGAGGUGAAAUUCGUAGAUAUUCGGAAGAACACCAGUGGCGAAGGCGACUACCUGGUCUGGCAUUGACGCUCAUGUGCGAAAGCGUGGGGAGCAAACAGGAUUAGAUACCCCGGUAGUCCCUGUCUCUUAUAA